rnacentral:rRNA from 1 species
CAGUCGCCGCGGGAAUACGAAGGGUGCAAGCGUUACUCGGAAUUACUGGGCGUAAAGCGUGCGUAGGUGGUGGUUUAAGUCCGUUGUGAAAGCCCUGGGCUCAACCUGGGAAUUGCAGUGGAUACUGGGUCACUAGAGUGUGGUAGAGGAUAGUGGAAUUUCCGGUGUAGCAGUGAAAUGCGUAGAGAUCGGAAGGAACAUCUGUGGCGAAGGCGACUAUCUGGGCCAACACUGACACUGAGGCACGAAAGCGUGGGGAGCAAACAGGAUUAGAUACCCCUGUAGUCCCUGUCUCUUAUAU